AACGCACCUUGCGCUCUCUGGUAUUCCGGAGAGCAUGCCUGUUUGAGUGUCAUGAACUCUUCAACCCACCGGUUCCUUGUUGAACCGAGUUGGUGUUUGGUUUUUGAGUGUUUUGCUUUGUUUUCGGACAUAGCUCGCUCGUAAUACAUUAGCAUCUCGAUUUCGAAAUUUCGGAUUGACUCAGCGUAAUAGACUAUUCGCUGAGGACACCUUUACCGGUGGCCGUAAUUAUGAUAACAGUAGACGCUUCCAAUCCUACUAGUCAAUUUUAUGAUUAGACCUCAGAUCAGGCAGGAUUACCCGCUGAACUUAA
rnacentral:misc_RNA from 2 species